rnacentral:rRNA from 1 species
GAUGAACGCUGGCGGCGUGCCUAAUACAUGCAAGUCGAGCGAACAGAUGAGGAGCUUGCUCCUCUGACGUUAGCGGCGGACGGGUGAGUAACACGUGGAUAACCUACCUAUAAGACUGGGAUAACUUCGGGAAACCGGAGCUAAUACCGGAUAAUAUAUUGAACCGCAUGGUUCAAUAGUGAAAGACGGUUUUGCUGUCACUUAUAGAUGGAUCCGCGCCGCAUUAGCUAGUUGGUAAGGUAACGGCUUACCAAGGCAACGAUGCGUAGCCGACCUGAGAGGUUGAUCGGCCACACUGGAACUGAGACACGGUCCAGACUCCUACGGGAGGCAGCAGUAGGGAAUCUUCCGCAAUGGGCGAAAGCUUGACGGAGCAACGCCGCGUGAGUGAUGAAGGUCUUCGGAUCGUAAAACUCUGUUAUUAGGGAAGAACAAAUGUGUAAGUAACUAUGCACGUCUUGACGGUACCUAAUCAGAAAGCCACGGCUAACUACGUG